GGCGAGGCGAGGCGAGGCGUGGCAGGGCGAGACGAGGUGAGGGGUGGCGAGGCAAGGCAAAGGCGAGGUGAGGCAUUGCAAAGUGACGGAAAGGCGAGGCGAGGUGAGGCGAUGCGUUGCAAAGUGAGGGAAAGGCGAGGCGAGACAGUGCAUUGCAAAGUGACUGAAAGACGAGGCGAGGUGAGGCAAAGGUGAAGCAAGGCCAAGCAAGGCGAGGCAAGGCGAGGCAAAGAAGGCAGGGCAAGGCGAGGCGAGGCGAGGUGACGCGAGGCAAG
ensembl:lncRNA